rnacentral:tRNA from 1 species
GCCACCGUAGCUCAAUGGCAGAGCAUCCGCCUUGUAAGCGGAUGGUUAAGGGUUCGAGUCCCUUCGGUGGCU